rnacentral:SRP_RNA from 1 species
UUGUGCUAGGCGGGGAGCUAGCGGUGCCCUUUACCCGAAAUCCGCUUAAGCGGGGCUGAAUUCCCUUCCGAGGGUUUUUCUGAACGCCUUGCAUGUCAAUCCGAUCGGCCGCCACGCAACAGCCGGCCACGAACCUCGUCAGGUCCGGAAGGAAGCAGCGAUAAGUGGUGCAGACUGUGUCGUGGAUUGUUUCCGAUCAUAUAUUGGCGCAAGGUCGAUAAAAAAUACGAAGGAGGGUGCACAA